rnacentral:tRNA from 1 species
GUCCCUGUAGUAUAUCGCACAUUACUCUGGUCUUGUAAACCAGAAAAGGGGGAAACNUUCCNCCCAAGGACU